GGAACUUUGAACAGAUUGUGCUCAAUUUGGAGGCGUCCAUUAUAACUUCCAAUGGAAGUGUCCAAGGCUGGAACCACCACAGUCUGCAGGUGCUCGAGAAGAGACAGAAUUCAUCCAAGGCAAAGAAGAAGCCCAGUCAGACGAGCAAAACGUGCCAGAUGCGCAGGGAUGUCAGUGGCAGUCUGAACUGUAGGAGGAGGAGAGCCCAGGACUCCUUCUCUUUCAUCAUACUUCCCUAACAGGAGCACUGAAGAAUCAAAUCUGGGCUAUAAAACAUAAUGGAAGCUGCAAAAGGACCUUGCUUAUCUUGUCUAUCAAUACCUAGCUCAAUGCUGGGCACAUCAAAGACGCUCAAUACAUAACUUCCAAUUAUAUGGAUUAAUGAAGAAAGAAGAUAGAACACUGUCAAGGUCAACAAUUUGGGCAAGGCUCAGCUGAGAUGGUUUCGUCUCUUCUCUGCGUGGUGUUGGCUGGACUCAUUUAUGCAUUCUGAAG